rnacentral:lncRNA from 1 species
CAGACUUAAACUGAGCUAUGUGACUCCAAUGCCUAUGCAUUUUCUACUUCAUUAUUACAGGGUAUACAUCAAAUUUUAAGAAGAAAGAACAUCAGGACCUUAGGGUUCUGUUUUAACCUAUAUGGUGUUGGCUGUUCAGAAAAUAACAAUGAAGACUUCAAAAUGGUGGUUUAUAUGUUCUUCGUGCAGAAGCAGUGUACUAAAGAAGCUGUGCUGAUCAAUGAUUUUGAGCAAAGCCAAGAAAUUUGAAACAAAUUUGCCGAUGAUACACAACUUCCAAGGUAAGAUAUAAUAUAGCUUAAAAUCAAGAUUAUGAGUACUCUUGACAGAUUU